rnacentral:lncRNA from 1 species
GGAUAUGCAGGAAGAUUCUGUGAGACAGAUCACAAUGAGCGUGAUUCCAGUCAUUACCACAAUGGGGCUGUGUGCCAGGACAGAAUCAAUGGCUACUCCUGCUUCUGUGUGCCUUAAUACCAAGGCAGGCAUUGUGACUUGGAAGCAUAUGAAUGUGUUUCUGAUCCCUGCAUGCAUGAGGCUGUAUGCUUUAAGGAGAUAGGAAGAUACACAUGUGUCUGUCCUCAAGAGUAUUCUGGUGUGGACUGUGAGUUGGAAAUUGAUGAAUGUUGAUCACAGCCGAGUUUAUAUGGUGCCAGGAUGCUCAUGGUGUCAGGAUGCUCUUGGGGCUUACUUCUGUGACUGUGCACUUGGAUUCCUUGGAGACCACUGUGAACUCAACUUUGAUGAGUGUGCCAGUCAGCCCUGUCUCCGUGGAGGUCUAUGUGUGGAUGGAGGAAACAACUACUUCUGUGACUGCAUGGGUAGCAUAUUUGUGAGACCUAGACGCCCCUUUGUUGGUCAAAGCCUUCUCACAAUGAUACAACAUGUGAAGGCACUGUUGACAGCUAUAUUUGUCACUGCUGGCCUAGAUACACAGAUUCCCUGUGUGAGACAGACAGAAAUGAAUGCAGUAGGCACCCCUGCAAAUUUAGGGGGAAAUAUGCCAAUCCGUCCUCAAGGGAUAUAUAGGACACAUUGCAGACCUGCCUUCCUCCUUCAACUACAUUGAAGCCCCAGGCUAUAUUUGUAUCUGUCAGCCUGGA